AGUGAACGCUGGCGGUAGGCCUGACACAUGCAAGUCGAACGGCAGCACAGUAAGAGCUUGCUCUUACGGGUGGCGAGUGGCGGACGGGUGAGGAAUACAUCGGAAUCUACUUUUUCGUGGGGGAUAACGUAGGGAAACUUACGCUAAUACCGCAUACGACCUACGGGUGAAAGCAGGGGAUCUUCGGACCUUGCGCGAUUGUAUGAGCCGAUGUCGGAUUAGCUAGUUGGCGGGGUAAAGGCCCACCAAGGCGACGAUCCGUAGCUGGUCUGAGAGGAUGAUCAGCCACACUGGAACUGAGACACGGUCCAGACUCCUACGGGAGGCAGCAGUGGGGAAUAUUGGACAAUGGGCGCAAGCCUGAUCCAGCCAUACCGCGUGGGUGAAGAAGGCCUUCGGGUUGUAAAGCCCUUUUGUUGGGAAAGAAAAGCAGCAGGUUAAUACCCCGCUGUUCUGACGGUACCCAAAGAAUAAGCACCGGCUAACUUCGUG
rnacentral:rRNA from 1 species